UACAGAGGGUGCAAGCGUUAAUCGGAUUUACUGGGCGUAAAGGGCGCGUAGGUGGUUAUUUAAGUGAGAUGUGAAAGCCCCGGGCUCAACCUGGGAACUGCAUCUUAUACUGGGUAACUGGAGUACAUUAGAGGGUAGUGGAAUUUCCGGUGUAGCGGUGAAAUGCGUAGAUAUCGGAAGGAACACCAGUGGCGAAGGCGGCUACCUGGAAUGAUACUGACACUGAGGCGCGAGAGCGUGGGGAGCAAACAGG
rnacentral:rRNA from 1 species